UGGGGAAUAUUGCACAAUGGACGCAAGUCUGAUGCAGCAACGCCGCGUGGAGGAUGACACAUUUCGGUGCGUAAACUCCUUUUAUAUAGGAAGAUAAUGACGGUACUAUAUGAAUAAGCACCGGCUAACUCCGUGCCAGCAGCCGCGGUAAUACGGAGGGUGCAAGCGUUACUCGGAAUCACUGGGCGUAAAGAGCGUGUAGGCGGGUAUAUACGUCAGAAGUGAAAUCCAAUAGCUUAACUAGUGAACUGCUUUUGAAACUGUGUACCUAGAAUGUGGGAGAGGUAGAUGGAAUUUCUGGUGUAGGGGUAAAAUCCGUAGAGAUCAGAAGGAAUACCGAUUGCGAAGGCGAUCUACUGGAACAUUAUUGACGCUGAGACGCGAAAGCGUGGGGAGCAAACA
rnacentral:rRNA from 1 species